AAAUUUUAAUAUGGUUUCCAUAAGCAACAAAAAGCAAGAAGCAGCUCCAGAGGAUUAACCAUUCCUCCUGUUUCUGAUAUUUAUUUCAGGAUUAGAUGAGCUGCCUCUGAAGAAGCCCAUCCCAUCCCCUUGACUCUAAACAGAGCUGAGGCAACAUGUGUCUAACUUUCAGAUAGCUAAACAUGGCCAAGGAAAGUCCACCUGUAGUCCUCUAAGUCCCUUGACUUUCCCUUCGAUGCCUUUGAAGAAUGUUUGCCUUCUCUGCGCUCACAAGCACUUCACCGUCAGUGCUGCAACUGGAAGUGUGUCAGGAGGGAACUCACGAAAGCUGGAAGAACUGGGUGGACAUGCUUGGAGGCAGGAAGCAAAAAUGUGGGAUCAUCGCAUUGAGGUGAAUGGGGAUGCUCAGAUGGAUACAUGAGAAAAUCACUAGGAGCCAGCUUCUUAACUCCUGUAACUGUUCACAGCUUGGUUUGUGUUCUGCACAGCCUUAAAGAGGACAGAAAACAGAAGUUGAUGGCACUGCAGUAAGAAACUUUUGAACGCUCCUUUAGGAAAAAAAACAAAUACUUUCUAGGGAGACUUCUUGGUGUAGAGCAGCAUUUCCUUUCAUGCAUUUUAAAAGGAAGCAAUGGAAUGUGAUUGACAUAAACGCUUCCUUUUUAAUUGAUUUGGUAUAUUUUGCUGGUUGUGUGACUUUAAUUUAGUAUAUUACAACCCAAUCGGAGGAGUGCUAUUG
rnacentral:lncRNA from 1 species